UACGUAGGGGGCGAGCGUUGUCCGGAUUUAUUGGGCGUAAAGAGCUCGUAGGCGGCUUGGCAAGUCGGGUGUGAAACCUCCAGGCUCAACCUGGAGACGCCACUCGAUACUGCCAUGGCUAGAGUCCGGUAGGGGACCACGGAAUUCCUGGUGUAGCGGUGAAAUGCGCAGAUAUCGGGAAGAACACCCGUGGCGAAGGCGGUUCUCUGGGACGGUACUGACGCUGAGACGCGAAAGCGUGGGGAGCGAACAGG
rnacentral:rRNA from 1 species